rnacentral:rRNA from 1 species
GAUGAACGCUGGCGGCGUGCCUAAUACAUGCAAGUCGAGCGAACGGACGAGAAGCUUGCUUCUCUGAUGUUAGCGGCGGACGGGUGAGUAACACGUGGAUAACCUACCUAUAAGACUGGGAUAACUUCGGGAAACCGGAGCUAAUACCGGAUAAUAUUUUGAACCGCAUGGUUCAAAAGUGAAAGACGGUCUUGCUGUCACUUAUAGAUGGAUCCGCGCUGCAUUAGCUAGUUGGUAAGGUAACGGCUUACCAAGGCAACGAUGCAUAGCCGACCUGAGAGGGUGAUCGGCCACACUGGAACUGAGACACGGUCCAGACUCCUACGAGAGGCAGCAGUAGGGAAUCUUCGGCAAUGGGCGAAAGCCUGACGCAGCAACGCCGCGUGAGUGAUGAAGGUCUUCGGAUCGUAAAACUCUGUUAUUAGGGAAGAACAUAUGUGUAAGUAAAUGUGCACAUCUUGACGGUACCUAAUCAGAAAGCAACGGCUAACUACGUG